GCGGGGGUGCCGGAGUGGUCAAACGGGCUAGGCUUAGGACCUAGUGACUUAGUGUCUACGCAGGUUCGAGUCCUGUCCCCCGCA
rnacentral:tRNA from 1 species